UGAAAUAGAAUCCAUUACCCUAACUUCCUACCAUGUUUUGGAAUAUUGGUUGUCUUGCUUCUCACUCUUGCUAAAGUCUAGCAGUGAGAUGCUGACUGGAAGCUUCAAAAUUUAUUUUCUUAUUGUAAUACCCAAUGCUUGAAUUUAUUGGUCUUCUUUGGUUGAUCUUUGUCAUGGAAUUGGCUGAUUUUUUAGAGCAACUGCUACAUUGUGUUGCUAUGAGUGUUCCUUCUUCAGGCUUCUGCGUGCAAAUACUUUCUUAUUUUUCAUCAUCCUGAUUAGUUCCCUAUCAGGUCUUUCUUUUGUCAUUGAAAUCAUAAGCUUUUUCAUGUAUGUGUAUAUAUAUGUACACGCGCAUGCAUAUAUUUGAAUGGCAGGCCUGUUCUGGACAUGUUGUAGAAGCUUGUAACAUUGGUAGGGUAAGUUACAGAUAAUGGUAUAUUUUUCCCAUUCUUUUGCUAAAAGGUUUACAACCCUUCAUGUCAUUUGUAUGGUUGAAGGAACCCAUUUUGUCUCAAACACCUAGUUUCUUGUUUCCUGUUUCUGGCAUCCAUUUCAUCAUCCAGUAACUACAGUAGGAAAUUUUUUUAAAUCAGAAUUUCCUGAAUCUAUAUUCUCUGUUUGCCUCCAAUUUCUCAUUCUGGCACUUAGUGUAGUAAGCAAUUGUGUUCUCUAUGUUGGGUAGUAUAUUAAUUACAUUAAAACUGAUGAUGCUCUUGGUUAAUCACUUUGCAGGCUGCAGAAAGCUCAUUUGUGAGAAGAUCAGCAGCACGCAUGCUUAGUGGAAAGAGGCCUGUCCACCCAACAUCAGUCACUAAAAAAAGUGGGUCGGUUAAACCCAGUGUUGGAAGAAAGGCUGAUGGAGUUGGACAGCCAAAGACCCUGGGAGCAGCUGAAUCUGAAGAUACUGAGGUAUGCUAACACUACAUGACAUUCUUGAAUCAGACCAUGGUAUAUUUUCUUUUUUUCUUCCAGCUUGUUAAUAAUUAGUAGGGUCAGCUUCUGGGCAUGGUAUAAUAAUGAAGGGAACUUCUAUGUAUCAAAUAAGGGGACAUGCUUUUAGCUAGGGCACCAUCUGUACCUUGUUAGCUACAUGCUACUUCAAUGUGGAACAUGAUUGGGAAGCAUUUCUUCAAUGUGGAACAUGAUAGUGGACUGGAAUAUUGACAUGUAUUUCAAAUUGGGUUUUUGAAAAAAAAAAAAAGAAAAAAAGAUGCUUUGGUUUGUUUUCUGUAAUGCAAUGAAGUUGUGCCCUUUAAGAACUACCGAUGGUGUUGUAGGACGAUGCUGGAUAUUUGUGACUU